rnacentral:rRNA from 1 species
GCUUAUCACCAUUCCAGAUUGAAUAUACCCGAUCUCGUUUGAUCUCGGAAGUCAAGCAAUCUCGGGCUUGGUUAGUACUUGGAAGGGUGACCGCUUGGGAAUACCAAGUGUGAUAAGCA